CUACGGGGGGCUGCAGUGGGGAAUAUUGGACAAUGGGCGAAAGCCUGAUCCAGCCAUGCCGCGUGUGUGAAGAAGGCCUUCGGGUUGUAAAGCACUUUCAGUGGGGAAGAAAGCCUUGGGGCUAAUACCCUCGAGGAAGGACAUCACCCACAGAAGAAGCACCGGCUAACUCCGUGCCAGCAGCCGCGGUAAUACGGAGGGUGCGAGCGUUAAUCGGAAUUACUGGGCGUAAAGCGCGCGUAGGCGGUCUGAUAAGCCGGUUGUGAAAGCCCCGGGCUCAACCUGGGAACGGCAUCCGGAACUGUCAGGCUAGAGUGCAGGAGAGGAAGGUAGAAUUCCCGGUGUAGCGGUGAAAUGCGUAGAGAUCGGGAGGAAUACCAGUGGCGAAGGCAGCCUUCUGGACUGACACUGACGCUGAGGUGCGAAAGCGUGGGUAGCAAACAGGAUUAGAUACCCGAGUAGUC
rnacentral:rRNA from 1 species